rnacentral:misc_RNA from 1 species
GAUGAAGAACGCAGUGAAAUGCGAUAAGUAAUGUGAAUUGCAGAAUUCAGUGAAUCAUCGAAUCUUUGAACGCACCUUGCGCCCUUUGGCCAUUCCGAAGGGCAUGCCUGUUUGAGUAUCAUGAACACCUCAACUCUUCAUGGUUUUCCAUGAUGAGCUUGGACUUUGGGGGUCUUGCUGGCCUACGGUCGGCUCCUCUAAAAUAAAUCAGCUUGCCAGUGUUUGGUGGGUAUCGCAGGUGUGAUAACUAUCUACGCUUGUGGUUUUCCACCAAGUAACCUUCAGCAGUGGAGGUUCACUGGAGCUCACAGAUGUGUCUCUCCUCAGUGAGGGAUAGCUCUUUGAAUGUUUGAUCUCAAAUCAGGUAGGACUACCCGCUGAACUUAAGCAUAUCAAUAAGCGGAGGA